rnacentral:rRNA from 2 species
GCGGGUAAGCUUAUGCUGAGAAGUCUGACGGAGCACGCCGCGUGACGAUGAAGGCUUUCGGGUCGUAAAGUUCUGUUGUUAGGGAAGAACAAGUGCUAGUUGAAUAAGCUGGCACCUUGACGGUACCUAACCAGAAAGCCACGGCUAACUACGUGCCAGCAGCCGCGGUAAUACGUAGGUGGCAAGCGUUAUCCGGAAUUAUUGGGCGUAAAGCGCGCGCAGGUGGUUUCUUAAGUCUGAUGUGAAAGCCCACGGCUCAACCGUGGAGGGUCAUUGGAAACUGGGAGACUUGAGUGCAGAAGAGGAAAGUGGAAUUCCAUGUGUAGCGGUGAAAUGCGUAGAGAUAUGGAGGAACACCAGUGGCGAAGGCGACUUUCUGGUCUGCAACUGACACUGAGGCGCGAAAGCGUGGGGAGCAAACAGGAUUAGAUACCCCGGUAGUCAAAG